rnacentral:tRNA from 1 species
GCCGGGGUAGCUCAGUCGGUAGAGCAGGGGACUGAAAAUCCCCGUGUCGGCGGUUCAAUUCCGUCCCCCGGCACCA